rnacentral:rRNA from 1 species
GUGCCAGCAGCCGCGGUAAUACGGAGGAUGCAAGCGUUAUCCGGAAUGAUUGGGCGUAAAGCGUCCGCAGGUGGCUGUGUAAGUCUGCUGUUAAAGCGUCUAGCUCAACUAGAUACAAGCAGUGGAAACUACACAGCUAGAGUGCGUUCGGGGCAGAGGGAAUUCCUGGUGUAGCGGUGAAAUGCGUAGAUAUCAGGAAGAACACCGGUGGCGAAAGCGCUCUGCUAGGCCGCAACUGACACUGAGGGACGAAAUCUAGGGGAGCGAAUGGGAUUAGAUACCCCAGUAGUCCUAGCCGUAAACGAUGGAUACUAGGCGUGGCUUGUAUCGACCCGAGCCGUGCCGUAGCUAACGCGUUAAGUAUCCCGCCUGGGGAGUACGCACGCAAGUGUGAAACUUAAAGGAAUUGACGGGG